rnacentral:misc_RNA from 1 species
UGAAUACCUAGCGGACCCUGG